CCUGCUACAGAAAGUCCUCAGUGACUCUUGAACGUGUUCGCCCACAACGUGUGAUUGACAUUCAAGGCAUAAGUAACCCAUAGGCUGUGACACACACCUAUUGGGCCAUUCCUGAGCAAGUGACAUACACCCACAGACAGCUCAGACCUACUUCCUAAAGUGGAUCAGAUUGUAGAUCCCGGCACCACUUGCCAACUCUUCUCACCAUCCUUUGUGUCAGUCACCCAGAGGUCACGAUGGAGGCAGGAACAUUCAGUUUUUACUUGAAAGACGCUCAGGAAAUGUAUAUUUUGAAAAAAAUAAACCUUCAAUGAGUUAAAGAGGACACUGGAACAUUCAGUGGAUAAUCAGGGGACCCGUUAUUCAUCAUUCAGAUCAACCACAAAAACAUGACAAAAAAAAUUAAACAGAAAAAGAAACAACAUACCCCAUGAGAUUCUAUAUAAGAGGGUUUAAUUAAGAAUCAGGAAGUAUUUUUGAGACGGACUAUUCAUUUUUGGGUAUACCAUGAUGCUGUUUUUAUAGACAUAGUUUAAUUCUACCAAAAAACAGCUACAAUAGCAUUUGUGCAAAUUCAAGAAAUUGCCCCGUGUUGUGACUAUCAGGGCCAAUAACAAACACUGCAACAUAGAUUGCUCAGUUGCCUUGACCCCUGGAUUUAUGCACUCAUAUUCUAACAGCAGAAACUCUAAAUUUCAACAUUCAGUCACUUUGCACGUGAGUGAUAAGGACAUCAGAAGAAUGCUUAGGUAAAAGUUGAGCCUUUUCCUUCAGUUGUGGUGCAUUCUUCACAGUGGAGUGGCCAGUGCUUGGAUGGACAAUUGUGACGCACAUGAUGUCAGCAAAAUGCCUGCCACUUUUACUCCUCUUAAGCAUUUCAAUCUCUAUAGUGAUACAAGAGAGUUAUGCUUGGCUUUGACUAUCAUAAAAGAUGUCUAAUAAGACAAAAUUAUAAAAAGCAAACAGACAACAAUGAAAAAGCAGGGAAUUUUUUUUGCUUCCACUAAAUAUUGCUGACAGAAGAGAGACAAUGAAUAGCGGGGUGAGUAAAUGUGACCCAUGUAUCAACACACUACACAUUCCGACUUUUAAAACUCCAGGUAUGAAUAUGCACAUUGUCAUUUCAGGAUGCCGUAAAAUAAUAAAUACAUGUCUGCUUUACUUUAUUAAUAAGCAGUUUAUACUGGUCUGCUAUACAAUAAUGCAAUAAAUAAAGAGUGUAUACCUAGCCUAAAGCGCUUCUUACAAUCAACAGACUACACCCGGCAGGAUUGUGCGGGGGAGCCAGCAGUGCCCCGCCCCGCCCCACCCCACACCCGAUGACACUGAGGGGUUA